rnacentral:rRNA from 1 species
CAAUAGCGUAUAUUAAAGUUGUUGCAGUUAAAAAGCUCGUAGUUGGAUUUGUGGCGUACGGUGUGUUCCGGGCACUUGUUGUCUGAGUAACCUGCUGUUGCCAUCCUUGGGUGGGACCUGUGUGGCAUUAGGUUGUCGUGCAGGGGAUGCCCAUCAUUUACUGUGAAAAAAUUAGAGUGUUCAAAGCAGGCUUAUGCCGUUGAAUAUAUUAGCAUGGAAUAAUGAGAUAGGACUUUCUUGCUAUUUUGUUGGUUUGCGCAAAGAGGUAAUGAUUAAUAGGGACAGUUGGGGGUAUUCGUAUUCCAUUGUCAGAGGUGAAAUUCUUGGAUUUUUGGAAGACGAACUACUGCGAAAGCAUUUACCAAGGAUGUUUUCAUUAA